AACCGAAGCCGGGAGCUAAGAUGGCGGCUGCGGACGGAGAUGACUCGCUUUAUCCUAUUGCUGUGCUGAUCGAUGAGCUCCGAAACGAGGACGUUCAGCUUCGUCUGAACAGCAUCAAGAAGCUUUCCACCAUUGCACUGGCCCUGGGUGUUGAAAGGACGCGCAGUGAGCUCUUGCCUUUUCUCACAGACACUAUUUACGAUGAAGAUGAGGUGCUACUCGCUCUGGCAGAACAGCUGGGGACAUUUACAGCUCUUGUUGGCGGGCCUGAAUAUGUUCACUGUUUGUUGCCCCCGCUGGAGAGCCUUGCUACAGUUGAGGAGACAGUGGUGCGGGACAAGGCAGUGGAGUCCCUCCGAGCCAUCUCUCACGAGCACUCUCCGUCUGACCUCGAGGCCCACUUUGUGCCCCUGGUGAAGCGCCUGGCAGGAGGCGACUGGUUCACCUCCCGCACCUCUGCUUGUGGCCUCUUCAGUGUCUGCUACCCCAGAGUCUCCAGUUUGGUCAAAGCUGAGCUCCGACAAUACUUCCGGAACUUGUGCUCAGAUGAUACUCCAAUGGUGAGGCGAGCUGCAGCCUCCAAACUGGGUGAAUUUGCCAAGGUCUUGGAGCUGGAGCACGUCAAGAGUGAGAUCAUUCCCAUGUUCUCCAACUUGGCCUCUGAUGAGCAGGAUUCUGUGCGCUUGUUGGCCGUAGAAGCCUGUGUCAAUAUUGCUCAGCUCCUGCCCCAGGAGGACCUGGAGUCCUUGGUGAUGCCAACGCUUCGGCAAGCAGCAGAGGACAAGUCUUGGCGGGUCCGUUACAUGGUGGCUGACAAGUUCACAGAGCUCCAGAAAGCUGUUGGAGCAGAAAUUACCAAGACUGACUUGGUUCCAGCCUUCCAGAACCUUAUGAAAGACUGUGAAGCCGAAGUGCGGGCUGCUGCUUCUCACAAGGUCAAAGAAUUCUGUGAGAACCUGUCUGGUGAUUGCCGUGAAAAUGUCAUCAUGACUCAGAUCUUGCCCUGCAUCAAGGAACUGGUAUCGGAUGCCAAUCAGCAUGUAAAAUCAGCACUGGCAUCUGUGAUCAUGGGAUUGUCUCCCAUUUUGGGCAAGGACAACACGAUCGAGCACCUUCUGCCUCUCUUUCUGGCACAGCUCAAGGAUGAGUGUCCUGAAGUCCGGCUCAAUAUAAUCUCCAACCUGGACUGCGUGAAUGAGGUGAUCGGCAUUCGGCAGUUGUCCCAGUCCCUGCUGCCGGCCAUUGUGGAGCUGGCAGAGGAUGCCAAGUGGCGGGUGCGGUUAGCCAUCAUUGAAUACAUGCCCCUUUUAGCUGGGCAGUUGGGGGUGGAAUUCUUUGAUGAGAAGCUGAAUUCCCUCUGCAUGGCAUGGCUGGUUGAUCACGUCUACGCCAUCCGAGAGGCAGCGACCAGCAACCUCAAGAAGCUUGUGGAAAAGUUUGGCAAGGACUGGGCCCAUGCCACGAUCAUCCCCAAGGUGCUGGCCAUGUCCAAUGACCCCAACUACCUGCACCGCAUGACCACACUCUUCUGCAUCAAUGUGCUGUCAGAGGUGUGCGGGCAGGAGAUCACCACCAAGCACAUGCUUCCCACUGUGCUGCGGAUGGCAGGGGAUGCGGUCGCCAACGUCCGCUUCAAUGUCGCCAAGUCCCUUCAGAAAAUUGGACCAAUCUUGGAUAACAGCACCCUUCAGAAUGAGGUGAAGCCAGUGCUGGAGAAGCUAACACAGGAUCCUGAUGUGGACGUCAAAUACUUUGCCCAGGAGGCACUAACUGGAGAGGAACACUGCCAGGCCUUUGCUCAACUGGCCAGGAAGAACAGGGCUGGUCCCCUCAUACUGGAGAUGUGGGAGCGUGCUCUCGUCGCUGUGAGAGACAUGGCCGGCAGUGAGGGUGAAGGACCCUCAACUUCAACAGAGGCCACAAGAAAGCGUCCAUCAGCCAAUGCUCCAAGCAAGCCGAAGCCAACGUCAACAGCUUCAAAGCCGUCGGCUGCCUCAGACAUGCCUAAAAAGCACAGAGAAAAACGAAAGCACCUCGAAUCAGAGGGCCAUAAAGAGGCUAAAAAGAUUUGUAAUCCUAAACAUAUGAAGAGAGCGGAACAUUGCUUUCCUGCCUCUUCCCAGCGUCGCGGCUCACCAACCCAUGCAGCCGCUCCAGCCGACUUAUCCAGCUCAGGCAUGCUACCAGCCCGAGCCUCUCCAUCCCGUCCCCCAGCCAAUCCAGCUCAAUUGGACCACAGCAGGGUCCAUCCUGAACUGGCAGGACGGACACUGUUCACCAAAGGGAAGAUACACAACUCACCAGUUCAGUCUCCAGCCAUUCCGACCUCCCCUCCGAGAUUGCUUUGUGCACCACACCAUGAAGUGAUUACUGAACUGGUCCCCUGGACACCUCAUUCAUUUGGUUCUGCUUUGGCCAACCUGUCACCAAUAUCCAUUCACCAUUCUGUCUGUGAAUUCGAACCGAUGGCACAAUCGUAUAGGGGGAACCAGUACUGGGGUGCAUACCCCUCCCAAGGAUGUUACUUUCCGGGUUAUCCAUGGGAACGUGCUGCAGUCCCACACAAAUACUCGUGGCCACCAGCUCCACCUAGAUCUGUGGAAUGCUGGUCCCCACCACGUCCACCCCACCAACCCGAUCACGAGCCGGGCACUUCUCAGACCCCUCAACGAACCAGUGAACAACAUCCUGCAGGUGUCCAAAGAUCACCUUCUCUGUCAUCCGGAUCUGCCUCAUCAAACCCGAAGGAUUACAACUCAGAUGCAGAAUCCACAGAACCCAUCUCCACAUCCCCAGACAACAUCAUCUCACAAGGCCUGGGAUCCCCAGGGGAAAGCCUCGGACACUUCUCUGAGCAAGUCCUCCGGAUGGCCACAUCCUUGGGCAUCCAGGUUGAGCAAAUUGUGAAGCCUAGUGAAGACUGCAUUUAUGACCUGAUCCAGGCAGAGGACUCGUGUGCGGUAGCAAUACCCUUAAUACCAACACUGGCCAAGGCAAUGAAAGUACCCUGGGAGUUUCCCAACCAGCCGCGUCCCACCUCCCGCCGACUGGAAAGGCUGUACCGGGUACAGGAGAGAGACGUUCCUUACCUUGUGUACCAUCCACGCCCAAAUUCCAUCAUUGCCAAACUUGCACAAGGAAGGCCACACAGGGAACGCUCAGCACCAGCCAACAGAGAGGAUCGUCGCUUGGACGUGAUGGCACGACGGAUAUACACUGCGAUGGGCUUGGGCCUCCGCAUCUCAAAUUAUGAAGCCAUGAUGGGGAGAUACCAGUUAUUCUUGUGGCAGAAGCUGGAGGCUCUGGCAGCUUUUCUACCAGACCAACAACGAGAGCUCGCCAGAGCCUUCGUUGCUGAAGGCAUUCAGCUCUCAAAGCAACAAAUCUCAACGGCACGCCAUCACGUCGACUGUGAUUCGAGAGCCUUGGUUGGUGCGAUCACGAUUCGACGACAUGCGUGGCUUCGGGCGGCUAACCUCCCUCAAGAGACCUGCUCCCGGAUCGAGAGUAUGGCAUUUGAUGGAAAAGGGCUCUUUCACAGCCGCACAGACAAAAGGCUGGUCACCCUCCAGAAGGCAAGAGCUCGGCGGAUGGGCAUCAACCCACUUCAGCCAAGGGCACUUAAGUGGCCCUGGGCCCGAUCCUCCCGGUACCAGCCCUCCCACUCCAGACAAGGUCUGUACCCCAGCCAUCCUCAGUAUGGACAGCCACCACAAAACCGCCAACGCCGUCGGAAUGGUGCCCAACCGCAGCCAUGCAGGAAACGACUUGAUGCCCAUAGAAGACCGCGCUGAUGGGCAGAGCGCACCAGUCCCUUCACCAACGCAUCACCUCCAUUUACAGACUGCCUACGUCACCAUCUUCCCACCUGGGAAUCCACCACAUCCAACUGGUGGGUACUUUCCAUAGUAUACCAUGGAUGCAAAAUCAAAUGUGAGACCUUGCCUCUUCUCGGAUCAGUCUGCGCUCUUCCCCCUCCAACCCUAAUGGAGGAUGUCAGCAAUUUACUAGCAAAGGGUGCAACCGAUCCAAAGCUGAGCAUGGUUUCUAGUCACACUCUUUCACCAUUCCGGAAAAAAACAGUCAGCAACCCAUUUUGGACCUGCAGGGAGUAAACCAUUUCAUCCCACUCAAAGUUCCAGAUGGCCUCCCUGCAAGCCACUAUGCGUCAUUACGAAAAGGGGACUGGUUCACAUCCAUCAAACUUACUUCCACACCAGCAUCCAUCCUGACUACACCCACUUUCGAUAGUUCUAGAUCAGUUCGAGGUGCUGCUGUGGAGCAUAUCUACGGCACCGAGAGUAUUCCCUAAAUGCGUGGCCUAAGUCUGUGCACAUACGCGACUCCAAGGAAUACACGUUUGACCCCACUUAGAGGACUGGUCGCUAGUAGCCAAUACUGAACGGGACUUACUGUGGUCAAUCAAAACCACCCACACAACUCUUCACCGCUUGGGUCUGUGCAUCAACAUCGGAAAAACCACGCUUGCUUCUUCAGAGACCAUCCUGUACAUUGGAGUGGUCCUUGAUUCCAUGUUGGCUCAAGUGUACCUACCCCUGCAGAAGUUCAUGAAUGCAGCCUCCAACCUGAGAUCCUCUGCUCAGAAAAUUCAACAGCUACAAGGGCACAUGGUAUCGACCAUCACUAUGGUGCAUUAUGCCAGGCUGCGAAUGAGUCCGCCCAGCUCUGGUUCACGAGGGCAUUCCAGCCUGAGCACAACUUGCCACAAAGAACCCUAACCCUGCCCCUCCACAUAAGGGCAAGCCUUGCCUGCUGAAUGCGUAAGUCGAAUCCGAUAAAGAGACUUCAGCUUCUUUCCUCAGAACUGAUAGUGACUCUCACCACUGACGCAUCCCUCACCGGCCGGGGUGCCUUGACUGACACUACUCAUAUGGGACUGGUGUAUCCGCCACGACAUCACUCUUGUGGCCAUCCAUAUGGCAGAGAUACACAAUUUCACUGCAGACGUACUCAGUCACACUCGAUUCCACGUCCACGAAUGGGAACGCAGCAUGGAGCCCCGAAGCAAGAACGAUCUUUGGUGCAUGGGGCACCUCAUCUGCAGAACUUUUGCACAGAGAAGAACGCUACAUGCAGCAACUACUGCUCCAUCCAGCGCUGGAAUCGGCAAGAACUCCACGGGAGAGGCCUUCCUCAUUCCACGGACAGGGACCGUCUUUUUUCUGCCUUUCCCCUCAUCACAAAGACUUACGAAAACGAGGGAAGGAGCACACUUGAGCCAUCCUAGUAAUGCCACGGUGGCCCAGACAACCCUGGUUUCCAUCCCUGCUCCACCUCUCCAACUGCAGCUUCCUACAUCUACCCUCCAUUCCAACUUACUGUCCCAAGAGCAGGGGAAGUGUUGGCGCUGGCUUGAACCCUGGGACCUGGCUCUAUUGCUCCUUCAAGUUGGAUGCCAUGGGACCGAACCUUCCCUCCCCCUUUUCCCUGCAUGUGUAUGAUCAGUCCACCACCCCCACCCCCACCCCCAGAUACACAUGGCGUACCAGCCAGUUGCUGAUUCUAACCCCCUUUGGAGUCCAGCUCCUACUCUUAGUUCCAUCUUUUCAGACCUUCUUGGGCAGCUGUGAUAUUCUCUCCCUUCCCCAUCUUAGAGUUUCUGUUUUUGUUUUGUUCUUUCACCAGGGGGCAGCCUCGAGUUCUGUGCCCUGAUGUAGGCAUGCAAGAGAGGCAGAGCAGGCCCUUAAACGCCGUGCUUGGCGUGGUUAAUGUGAGCACUUUGGGGUGAAAAGAGGAGUCAUGCUCUUUGGGGGUCCUUUAUAAUGUAUUCACCACAGUUUGCAUGGGAAUGUCCCUGCAGUGCUGUAUGUAGCAGUGCAUGAGGUAUCGAUUUGGCCUUUCUCCUGAUGAUCUUGGCUCGGCUUGCAGCCUGACAGCUCUUGCAGCUUUCCCAUCUGAAGAAUUAAAAAGACCCUACUGUUCUCUUGAGUGUUUAACACCAGUGGAUCAGAGAGAGCAUCAGACACAAAAUAAGCUGGGAGCCUGGGGGCUACUUACUUCUCCUUUGCUUGAAAUAGAAUGGAGCAGGCCUUCUCCAUCUCCCACCUUCUCCCCCUCCCCCCCGCGCACACGCGCGCGCGCGCGCGCGCGCGCACACACACACACACACACAGAGAACAUGAGGAGGUCUAGUUAAACCCUUUAUUAAAAUCUACUGUUGGUUAGGACUUAUUUCCUUUCAAGUUUCUUAGUGUCUCAUGCACCCCCUUUCCAGAUGGCAGCCCCCUCUGCUGGAAGUAGCUAGCUCUGUGGUAUGGCCCCUGUAGUGAGCAAGUGUUGAAGAAAACCCAGCCUGGGAUGGGGGAUAUAUAAGCUGGCACUGGGCUGCUCUCUAGCAUUGGGCUAUACCUCUGGCCUCAAGCUAGUUAUGCACUCCUGUUGUCUUAGCCAAAAACUCAUUCUUCGUCAGUUUAGCGAUGCAAGCAGGUGGAGGGGUGCUUUGUGAAAGGGGCAUCUAUAGGGAGGAAUGUAAGGCAAAUCAGAGGAUGUUUGGACUAUGCAUUGAUAUGUUAACUGAUUGAAAUUCCCACUUUCUAUCAUGUGAUUGGAAAAGAACCAACCCCAUUUCCUCCUUUCUUCCACCCAACCUUUGCUUCAUGUAAUCUCCUGAUCCCACUGUUUUUAUGUCCCCUGCUUCUGCCUCUGGUCCUUGCACUGGACUAGUAAACUCUGUGUGUGCUCCAACCACACACCCUCAUUAUCUGUUAAUGGCAUGCCAUUUUAAAAUGGUUGGAUUGUUUUUGUGAGUACACUUGUUUUCCCCCUUCCUCUCUAUGAUUAAUAAAAUGCUCAACCGUUA